UUAAUUAUGCAUAGAACCCCGUUAUCAGAAAAUGGGUAGUUUCGUGUUCGUCGGAAAACGUAACGUACAGAAAGUUCCUAAAGUCGAACGUGAUCAAAAGGAUCCAUGUAUAGUUCGCCGGUAAGUUGAAGGAAGGCCCACGCGGUUAAGUAGCAGGAGACUACUGAUAGUAAGUACACUUUCGAUGUAGUAAAUGGCGGUUAUAAGUUUAUUUUUUUCCGUCGGAAAGCGGUAACGUACAAAAAGAUCUGUCUCAAUGUAUCAAAAGGAUCUUAUUAUAAAACUGGAUCAAAAGGAUCAUAGUAUAGAAAUUGAUGCUAGAAGCUCGCCGGUAAAAAGAACGAAAGCCCAUGUAGCCAAACUGUAGCAGGCUACGGAUGGUUGUUACAUUUUAGAUGUAGUAAAUUGCGGUUAUAUGUUUCCUUUUCCGUCGGAAAACGGUAACGUACAGAAAGAGAUAAAAGAAGCAAUUGAUCAAAAGGAUCAUAGAAUAGAAAUUUAUCAAAAAGGAAAAAAUCAUGAAAAAAAAAAAAAAAAAAAAAAAAAAAAAUUAAAAAUUUUGUUACCGGAAGUUUGUCGGUUAGUAGACUGAAAACCCACGUGACAUUUAUCAUGUUGUUAAUACGCCCGUUAAUACGUUUAUAGUCGUAUUUAAUAAGAAUGGGAGGCCUCGAUAUAUUUUAAAAUUAUUAUUUAUUUAUUUGUUCUACUUUCGAUAUUAGAGGGGCGUAUCAUGAUAUUGAUACAUUCACGAACGGUGUGGUUUGAGCUAUCAAGAGAAUAGCAGGCAGUGUUAGGUUGUUAUUAGCUUAUAUUUGGCACGAUAACAGCCGAUCGUAUUUUUACUAAAACUCGUUAAAACUAAAAUGAGGUGUACUAGCAUUCUUACGUCAAAUUGACUUAAAAUAGUUAUUUGCUUUUGUGAUGAUGGCAUACAUCACAGUGUAGAAUAUGAAAAAACAUUAUAUGCUAGUGACUAGACGAGUUUGGAUGUUAACUGGCUGAAGAAACAGUAUUUUGAUUCCUUCUCAGAGAGUAGAAUGGCUCGGGCAUGUGAUCAAUAUGCAUAAAAUGCAGUUUUUCAUAAUUAAAAAUUGAGUAGCUAGGCUAGAAAAAAGUAAUGAUUCGAUGAUCUAUCUAAUUUAUCAAACGAAAGAAAAAGUAGUACCAAAAGAUAAAUUAAUAGCUAGUCUUGUAGGGCAGAUAAUUUCCUUUCAGAGUGUGAUUGUAAAUAAAGUUUGUGAUAACAAUGCAUAUAUACAAUUGCAUAAAUACCAGAGCUAGUUGGAAAGCUCCCGUUAUUGUAACGUUGCAAGCUAUUUCCAAACUUAGAUUAUGGAAAUAAAGCACUAGGCAGUUAAUCAACGGUGGGAAAGAUUUCAAACACAAUCAGUUGUUUUUGUGUAAUAUAUUUGCUGAUGCAAGUACCACACGUUAUGGUUUAUGGAGGUUUUAUAGAAAGUUGUAGCUUUAAUGUAGAUAUAGGCGAAAUGACUGUCAAGCUAACGAUUUUCAUAAAAAUAAAAAAGCAAAUUAAUUUUCAAUUUGUUUUAUUCCAAUGACGAAGAGAGUAAAGGUAUGUACUCGUGGUCUUUGAGACCCUAAAAUGAGAAAAUUGGAGUGUACAUGAUCUUAAUAAAAAGAGCAACCUGUUCCCGGAAGUGAACAGAUUAUUGACGAAAAGAAAAAAGUUAUUCCUGGAAGUGAUUACUAUAUUACACUGUUAAAAUCAAGGAGGUACACUGCCAGUGUUUUUAUAAACGAAACAGGUAAUGCAUAUUGUGAUUUAAUAUGAAGUCAAUACAUUAAGCCACCGGAAGUUGGUUUUCAAGAUAAACCGGAUAAGUAUUCCGUCGUUUAAUAUGACGUAAGUAAAAUUUCUUAUGAUCAAGAAAAUGCCUUGCAUACGGCUAGAAAAGGUAUGUUUUUGCUCCAGGAAGUGAGCAGAAAGAGUUUGCUAUGGUCCCCGGAAGUGGACAUAGAGCCCAGUAGAUUGCUCCCGGAAGUGAGCAGAAUUUGUAGGCUAUGGUCCCCGGAAGUGGACACAGAGCCCAGUAGAUUGCUCCCGGAAGUGAGCAGAGAUGCUCCAUGAAGAGAGCAGAGAGUAUGCUAUGGUCCCCGGAUGUUAUGUUAUAUGAAAUGUUUUAAAUGCUUUGCAAAAUUCGUACAUCAAAGUGUAUUCAGACAAUAAAAUGUAAAAUCUAUAUUAUUGAAUGGUAGUCAUAAGAAAUAGCUUUAGAUUUAAAUAUGUAGUGUGGAUACUGGAUUCAAUGAAAAGAGGCAGUGGGUGCCUUAGUUCAAUAUGGGGAAACAAUGUAAACUGGUUAGUUCAGAAACUAGGUUGGUAUCAAUCUGUAUCAAUAAGAUGAUAUCGGAGAAAGCAAAAUGCAUCCUUGUUGUUCCAAAAAGGGGCAGUUCGCCUUAUUGGCUAAUGUUGAUUUGUCAUACGGACACAUUGUGAAAUAUUGCAAAAAGUUUGGUAGAGACUGUAUGAUUCCAGGUUGUUUUGGUAACACUAGAUUAUCAUUAAAUAAGAUAGCGUUAAGAUGCAUAUCACAAUACAGUUAUUGAUGUAUAGUACAUAUGUUUGACAGGAAAUGUUUUGAGAGGUACUCUGAAGGAGCGAUUAGAGGGCUCGGGCUUGCAUGGGCUUCGAAGAGAUUAGAUGGCGGACAGAAUGGCUAAGUAAAUACUUAGAACAAUCAAGAGCAGACAAUACGGUGAAGAAAAGAAUUCUUCAUGUGCACAUUUCAAAUACUGUGAAGAAAAUGUAGUCGCCAUGCCAGCCUUACAUAUAUCAGUAGUAAUGUACAUGGCUCAAUUGAUGGGUCGAGGAAAUCUAAUAACGUUUUUUACAUCUGUGUUUUACAGUAUUAAAUGGAUCCAUUCUAUUAAUAGUGUACAUGAUCCAAAGAAAGAUUUAACAAACUAUUAUAAGAAGCUUCAAAGCGUGUGUGUUUCAAACCAUCUCACAAGAAAGAUGUAUCAUGUACAUGUGCAUUCAUUAGAGAUGAUACAAA